AGGAGGAGGAGGAGGAGGAGGCGGUUGUUGCUGUGAGCGCGUGGGGACAAACUCAGGAGCUUGCGCGUUGAGUUUACUGAAGGAUACAUUCCGAGAAAGCGAUGGAUCUGAAGAAGAUUGAGAUUGAGAUUGAUCUAAGUUUUCUGAUGCAGAUUCCACUUCAGGUUCUUCUUGUGCCAUUACUAUAAUUACCAGUAUUCAAUCUUGAGCGUGGAUUUUUGAUUUUGUUGUUAAGUUUAAAAAUAGAAUUUGGGGAUCUAGGGUUUUUUUUUUUUUUU
rnacentral:misc_RNA from 1 species